UCCCCCCGGUUUAAAGAGAUACUCUGGGUGAAGAAGGUCCCGGCCUCCGCGGUGAUUCGCCCUGGAGACCGCGACAUCAUACAGACAUUGAAAUCUGAAGUUGGGUAGUGCCUUUCCUUUCCUUAGGUGCCUAGCGGUGCCACGGGGACAGGGGGUGGGUAUUUGCUUUGUAAUUUCAGGGUCCCCGGCCGCCCCUCCCCUGGAUUGCAUGUACUUUAAAAUGGAGUCUAAAUAAGGUUCUAAAGUAAUCUAACAUCGUGAACAUUCUCCUGAUUGAUUUUCUAGAGUGCUUCAGAGACUUGGGAGCUCUGGAUGAAUGUGGACCGGGAAAAAAUCGCACUGAGACCUGGGCAUCUGCCCCAGGGUGGGGGUUGUGAUCGCAGGAUCUGGGGGCUGUGGAGUGAUUUGAAAUUGUCAACAAUUUAUCAUAGCUGUCAGUAUCUCAGUAGUUUUGUUUCCCCUUGAAUUACUGUGAAAUUCACAUAACAUUAAAUUGUCAUUAUAGGGCUGGGGAAUGUAGCUCAACAGAGUGCUUGCUUAAGCACUCAGGAUCAUCAGUACCAUGCAUGCCUGUGUGUAAUCCUGUCACUAGGAGUCCAAGGUCAUCCUUAGCUACAUAGCUAAGGGAUACAUUAGACCUUGCCUUAAAUAAAUAAAUAAAUAAAUAAAUAAAUAAAUAAAUAAAUAAAUAAAACCAGGCAGAGGAGCACACAACUUUAAUCCCAGCACCUUGGGAGGCAGAGGCAGGUGGAUCUCUGAGGGUGGUCUACAGAGCAAGUUACAGGAUAGAUAGCCAGGGCUACACCGAGAAACCCUGUCUCUAAAAACAAAACAACAACAACAAAAAAAGUGGUCAUUUUAAUUCAAGGUAUUUAGUGAAUUCAGUGUGUGCAGAGCUGCCUUGUAUGGUUGCAAAACAGUCCAUCACUCAAAAAAUAAAAGGCAGUUGUACACAUUGAGAAGUUUCUUUCCAACCCCUCUCCCCGGCCCUGUUAGCCACCAACCUACUUCUGUCUCCAUGGGCGGAAGUAUUCUCGGUGUAUUGAAUUUUUUUUUUAAAACACAAUUGAGAAAGCCAGUUCUACCUGGCAGACAGCAUAGAAUCAUGGAACCCAGGUCUAAAGUCUUCCUCUUCUGCCUGUCUGUUACCGUUCCUAACCCUUUGUGGGCCUCAGUUUCCUCAUCUGCGAAAGGACAGUGUGACAGCCCCCAGAGGAACUCAGAGAAAUGAGGAGUCAGGGGCGUGCCGGACACUGAACAAAUGGUCACUGUUUUCCUUCCUCUCCUUCUCUGCUUGAAGUUUGGGUUUCAUUUUGUUCUGUUUGGCAGUGAAAUGAUAGACUACAGAACUCUUCACAAGUCUGCUGCCCCUCUCCCACCCUCCCGUCAUCCGUCUCUAAUCCAGCACAGGUGGCUCUCAUCAGUAGCUGCAACAGUGCCAUCUGGAAGUUGUGCCCAGAGGUUCUGGACCUGGGGCACGCUCACCACACUCGAGCCCAACUAUGCUUUGAUAGCGGCUGCUCCAUUGAACAGGACUCACAUCUGACACAUAAAGGGCACUGUCUCAGUCUGUGCAGGCUGCUAGGAUGAUCCCCUAGAGACAGGCCACUUCUAAUAAUAGAAAUAAAUGUGUUUUCACUGUUCUGGCGGCUGGGCAGCCCAAGAGGAAGACCUUACCAGGCUUCCUGUCCGGCGAGGACUUGUGUUCUAGUUUAUAGGUAGCACUUUAUAUAGUGUCCCCUGUGAUAUCUACCUGGCAGCAUAGAAUCAGGGAACCUAGGUCUGAAAUCUCCUUCUUCUUUUAUGGGGACAUCAUCUCGUCCAUGAGACCUGUGUUCCUAUGACCUGAUCACCGCCCAAAGGCUCCACCUCUUAAUCCGUCAGCUUGGGGGUUCCAAUUUCAGCACAGCAACUUUGAGGGGACAAAGCCACUCAGACUACACAGCAGAUGCAGAACGUAAGCAAUAAAACAACAAGGCCCAAAGCCCGGGCAGUUAUCUGCUAUUGCGGUGCAGCUUCGCCAGGUCUGAUCUGGGCUGUACAUUUAGCAUUUAACAUCUUAUGGUUCUGGGCAAUGCUUUCCCUCCUGUUGGACUUUAUGAAAGGUUUAGUUACAUAUUUAUUUUUUAGUGGCGGGUACUUUAAAAAUUAAGUAUUUGUUUUCUUUAAAAAAUGUUUAGACUUUGUAGAAAAAAAAACAUAAAAUACAAAAAAAAAAAGAAGAAAAGGCACAUGUAUCUUAAAGAGUCUUGUUAAUUAAAUCAAACCUAAGGCCAGUUCAUGGUACGAAUUCUCGAAAAAGCUACUUGCCUGUGGCCUUUCGGGCCCCUACUCAGACCUGAGCUACCCUCAGCCAGUUGUGGUGAAGCAUGCUGGUUGGAUUUGCUGAAGGAGGCAGAGGCAGGGGGAUCCCGAGUUUGAGGCCAGCCUAGGAGGCUUGCUAAGGAGAAGCCUUGGCCGAGGCCCAGCCACAAACGGUGGCGGUGGGACCAUGGAGGCAGUGGCUGCUGCUCCGAGUGGCUGGCUCCUUCUCAUCAUGUUGGUGACUGCGGUGAUGCUGCUACCUGGGAUGAAGGGUUUACCACUGCUUGUUCAGAGAAGAAUUGCCAGGACCAUCAUGUUACCAUAAAGCAUCGGCAAAGGUCAGUUUGGAAAAGUUUGGCAAGACAAAUGGUGGGGAGAAAAUGCUGUGAAGAUUUUCUCUUCUAGGGAAGAACAUUUGUGGUUCCAAGAGACAGACAUUUAUCAGACUGUGAUUGCUCCAAACCACAGAGGAGGCACAAAAAAAAGAAAAGAAAGAAAGAAAAAAAGAAAAAGAAAAAAAAGUCUUCGGGGAACCAUGACCACACCUAACAGCUACUUGGAAAUCUUCAAAAAGAUGAUGGGACCCCACAACGAUGAUCCCACAAGGACUAUGGUAAAGCCAUUAAGCUAAUUAACAUCCAUGGAAAGAUCGACUUUGGACUACAAACUAUUCAGGACAAUUUCGAGAUGACCAGCUGAGAUGAUCCAGCCUGACAGACUACUUGAACAAGGACUUGAAACAAGCCCUGCACUUUUCCAUUAUGCAGAGACUGGACAAAUGAUACAGGACUUGACAAUUAACCCAAAAAUUUCUUUUCAGGAUUCCCUAAAGAUGUCUUCACCCCCAGAAAUCAGGAAGUAAUUUUAAGAAAACAAUGCCCACAUUCCCAAGAGGUGGGAUGGGAGGUUUUUGGUCGUUUAAUGAGUUACGGAUAUUGUCAUUGUUUACAAUGGUUGGUUACAAGUUGUUAAUUGUUAAUGGUCAGGAAAAAAGCUAAACAUGGAGAUUAGAUUCAGAGGUUUUGUUUAAAAAAGAAAGAAAGAAAAAGAAAAAAGAGAAUAUAGAUAUGAGGUAGAUCAUUGACUCUACUCUGAGAAAAAAGAUAAAGAAAUAAUAGGAUAAAUGGGUAGAUCACUGAAUCUACUCUAAAAAGAAAAAGGGGAAGAUACAAAAAUGACAAAAGGUAGAUUAUUGAAUCUAUUACGAAAAGAAAAAAGAGAGAAUAUGGAUAUGAUAAGAUAAAAGGGAGAUUAUGGAAUCUACUUUUCAAAAGGAACUACUUGUUUUAAAUAGGAUAAGUAAUGAAAUUUUUUGUCUGAUUUUAUCAGAUGUUACUGGACUGGACAUUGUUAAUAUAUAUAAUGGAGUUUUUUGUCUGAAUCUGUCAAAUGUUAACGGACUAGACAUUGUUAAUGUACUCUUGACUGUGUAUAUUGUAUAUACUUAUUAGAUAUAAUUUUUCUUGUAUUAGUUAUAAGCUUUUUUAAAUUUUAGACAAAAAAGGGGAAAUGUGGUGGUAUUGUGCUCCCCAAAAUAUUGUGCAUGCCAGUAAACUUAUCUGGGGUCAGAGAAGAGAAGGGUAAGAAAGUUUUUAGUCUCAGCUCUCAGCUGCUGCUCUGACCUCUUGGGCUUUUAACUCUUCAUUUGGCUCUGUGUUUCUUAUUUAAUAAGACCGUUCCAUCUACACUUGAGCCUACAGUGAGACAGAACAUGGUGGCCAAGGCAUGUGACAGGGGAAACCUGUGCCAGUCAUGGUGGCCUGGCGGCAAAGAGAGGGAGGGGUGGACAUUCCAGUGUCUCCCUCCGAAGCAUGGCCUCAGGGACCAAACUUCCUGUCGUGAGACCUCACUUCUACUCAGAACGCUUUGACACCAAAUGUGUGUGUGUGUGUGUGUGUGUGGGGGGGGUUCCACGCUAACAGCCAAUUAUCUGACCAUUUAGACACCAACACUUGUGACAUUCUACACUUGAAUUCGAUUCUCACGCUAGCUCCCUGGAGUAAGGGCGGACCCCACAAAUUUAGGGCUUGAUCCCCUGAGACCUACCCACGCCUUCAGAGACAAUUUCAAGUCUCUGAUAUUUUCACCUCUUGGGUACAAAUUAGGGGUUCCCCUGGCCUCUUAGGGUUUAAAAACUGAUAGUAACAGCUCGUGGGACACAGAGGAAACACUACAUUGCUUCUUGGCUUAAUACAAAGAGGAUGAUAACAAGGGACAGAGAGGAACAACCCGGUGAGGGUGGGCAGAGAGCUAGGCCUGCCAUGGUCCUGAGCCCAAGUGCCUCUGUCCCUGUGCCAUCCUCCUGACACAUGCAUGCAUUCACCAGCCUGGAAGCUCUCUGGAUUGAGCAGUUUAAGGAUUUUUUUUCUCCUAGUGUUAAGGAUUGACUGGCCUCUUUGUGUCCUACCCAGGCACUAGUGUAGGGCUUCUGGAGGCAGAUUAGGUUUUCAUGGAGGCUUCAUCCCAUAGGCCUCAUUGACUAACCCCAUCUCCGGCUCCUUCCUCUCUCUAGAUGGGCCAGGGCUGAAAAUCCUAACUCCUAACCAUGAUGCAAUCAGACUGCAGCAUCUCUCCGCUUCUGCUUCAAGUUACUCCCUCAGUUCCUGCCCUGAUUUCCCUCGACGAUGGACCCUUUCUUUCCCUGAGUUGCUUUUCUUCAGGGUGUUUGAUCACGUCAACAGAAAGGAAACUGAACCCCUCAUUUAUACAAAACCAAGAUCUCACCAGUGUGAAGGAUGCAGAUAAUCAAGAUACACAGGCAGCGUCAGGGAAGGUCUGGAACAGCAGCACGGCUCCCAGCUCUGCCUCCCCAUAUUAGACAUCUGUUCUCCAGCACAAAGGAAGAAGAUAGGAAGUAGCUAAUGAGCGUUGCCGGUUACCUCACACAGUGAGGAGUAUUUUGGUUGCAAAGCAUCUCUACAUGACACACUGAGAGUUGCAUCGCCAAUGCAAUCAUCUUUGGGCACAAAUCUAUAGACCCCAGGAGUGCUUAUCACCAGCAAUUCUAAGCCAGAGCCUUCAUGCUGAAGGAAUUCUGUCAAUAAGGGCCUCUCCCCCACCUCUGCCAAUAUCCAGCAACCGUAAGACUUGCAAGGGGUUGACUCUACUGUGCCUGUUUUGCCUGCAGUGCCUGUGGAGGCCAGAAGAGGGUGUCAGAUCCCCUGGGAGUGGAGCUACAGGGAGCUGUGAGCCGCCACCAGGUUGCUGGUGCUGAGAACUGAACCCAGGUCCUCUGGAAGCGCAGCCACUGCUUGUAACCGCUGAGCCAUCUCUGCAGCCCUAAGGAAGUCCUAACAAAUGGUACUGAAAUGAUUGGAUAAAUGUAUGAGGAAGAUGAAUCUUGUCCCCUAUCUCAUAAAUCCAAAUGUCAAUGUUGACGCUAUACCUAGAAAAAAAGUCCCAUGGCCUUGUGUGCACACAGAUGUGUGUAUAUGCGUGUGCACACAUAUACAAACAAAAAAUGAAGAUAAAACCUUUUCCAUUGAGUAUCCUUAUGAGAUAUUGUUUGAUAUUGCCCUGAACCCCCAAAGCCUUUGUCCCACAGGAGUUCUUUUGCCCUUCUCUUCACCCCCCUCCCCCGUCCUUCUUCUUCUCCCCUCCUCCCCUCCAACCAUGUGUGGCCUCCAAGCAUGACAUGUGCCUAUAUGUAACAAAGCCUUCCUUUCCGUCCGUCUGUCCGUCCGUGACUCUCCUCAUCAUUGGCGGGUUGCUCUCUGACCUAAGACUCUGAUAGGAAAGGGAUGCAAAAAUAUGAACGCAUCUCAAAAGUAUCAGAGUUAAAGGGCAAUAGAUCUUUAAAAACCAAUAUCUACAGACUGGGCAUGGAGCAUGUGCUUAGUUUAUGCAAGGCCCAGGGUUUGAUCCUCAGCACAAAUAACUCAACAACCCCAUUUACAUGACGUUUGACAUUAGACACAAUCAUGUGAAAGACCUGGAGAUAGCGAUCCUUGGAGAGAUUGACUGCAAGGGAUCCCCAAGGGUGAUAGAAUUGUGGUAUGUCUUGUCAAGGUAUAGGAUACAUGGUCAUAUAUACCCAUGCAAAUUCACUGCACUAUGUACCUAAAGUCUGUGUGUUUUGCUGCAUAUAAAAUGUAAUAUAUAUUUAUAUACAUAUAUUUAUAUAUAAUUUAUAUACAUAUUUUAUAUAAUGUAUAAUUUAUAGAUAGUUUUAAAUUGCUGCUUAAAAUGAACACAGAAAACAAAAUAAAAUACACAUUCCUUGGCCCCUCCCCAUUGUAAAUAUGUGGUAUCUUAAACUGACCAAUAAAAAUUCUAAGUGUUUAUUUAAUCUUU